rfam:Nematostella vectensis strain CH2 x CH6 NEMVEscaffold_241_Cont20386, whole genome shotgun sequence.
AUGCAUUUGUCCCCUCGAUGGAGAUAUAUGGGGGACUGGGACUGGGGCAAUAGAAAAUGAAUAUCAGUUGCACUUCUUUUUAAGUGGUCCCACUAAUGAUAGGCUAUGAGAAGAUGUUCGGUGUUGGGUCGAAGCUGGACCGGGAAGGGGCUGUUGGUGGAUUGGCCCAGCUAUGGUCGCGAGGCCAAUUCGGCAGGCAAUGAACAACCAACUUAGAACUGGCAGUGACUAGGGGAAUCCGACUGUUUAAUUAAAACAAAGCAUUGCGAUGGCCGGAAACGGUGUUGACGCAAUGGAUU